CUAAGGACUCUGAACUUUAUUUUGAGCCCAACGAAGGAUUGUUGAUUUUCUUUUCUUUUGUCAGAAGUGAGACAGCCACACUGAAGGCUUGCUUCCCUCCUGCUCAUAGAGAGCUGAUAGCAACAACCAAGGCUACAUGCUUCCUGAGUUACAGCUGAUGAGAGACUGUCCACUCCACAACUGUCAGAGUCCUGAGCUUCAUUCCGAUUGCAACCCUGCCGCAUGCUCACUCCUUACUACUGUGAAAGGUCAUUGCUAUCAUUAUGGUGCUCAGCGGGUCUUUACUAAUCUAUUUACUCAUACUUAAAUGGAAAAUUUCAGAGUAUGUGUUUCCUCAUGGUUCUAUCUUUGGGAACAAGUCUGAUGGCCACUGCCUUUCUCCCUGCCAGAGUCAGGAUCUAGCAUCAGGGGUUUCCAGGGUUCCCUGGGAGCAGACGACUGUUGCCUAACAGCUACGUGGCUAACAGUACCACUGCCAGCAAGAACACUCCUUUACUUCACAGAAGUCUCCCCCUUCCUGCUCCACCAUGCUAGAGGGCUUGAAAUGCCUUGAAAUUCUCUCCCUUCAGAGUUGAAAUACCACUUCCCUGAAAAUAAAAUGCAUCUUCCCCAA